rnacentral:snRNA from 1 species
AGCCGUGCACUGAAUACAAAGCGAACUAUUCUUUCGCCUUUUACUAAAGAAUACCGUGUUUUCAUUGCAUAAAGCGGCAUAAGUUAAUUUUUGAAAGAGAAUUCCGAUUGGAAUCUCU